CGACGAGUUUGAUCCUGGCUCAGAUUGAACGCUGGCGGAAUGCUUUACACAUGCAAGUCGAACGGUAGAGGGGGCAACCCCUCGAGAGUGGCGAACGGGUGAGUAAUAUAUCGGAACGUGCCCAGUCGUGGGGGAUAACGUAGUGAAAAUUACGCUAAUACCGCAUACGAUCUAAGGAUGAAAGCGGGGGAUCGCAAGACCUCGCGCGAUUGGAGCGGCCGAUAUCAGAUUAGGUAGUUGGUGAGGUAAAGGCUCACCAAGCCAACGAUCCGUAGCUGGUUUGAGAGGACGACCAGCCACACUGGAACUGAGACACGGUCCAGACUCCUACGGGAGCAGCAGUGGGGAAUUUGGACAAUGGACGCAAGUCUGAUCCAGCCAUUCCCGCGU
rnacentral:rRNA from 1 species